rfam:Soil-borne wheat mosaic virus genomic RNA 1 for 152-kDa protein, 59-kDa readthrough protein, 37-kDa movement protein, complete and partial cds.
GGUGCUUGUUAGUUCACCUAAAUCGAACUAAC